rnacentral:rRNA from 1 species
UACGUAGGGGGCGAGCGUUGUCCGGAGUUACUGGGCGUAAAGCGCACGCAGGCGGUCUGUUAAGUUUGGAGUGACAGUUGGUGGCUCAACCACCAAAGUGCUUUGAAAACUGAUAGACUUGAGGGCUUCAGAGGGACACGGAAUUCCGGGUGGAAUGGUGAAAUGCGUAGAGAUCCGGAGGAACACCAAAGGCGAAGGCAGUGUCCUGGGGAGUACCUGACGCUCAGGUGCGAAAGCCAGGGGAGCGAACGGG